GUGGGGAGGGGGGAAAUCGCGCUCAGGCUCGGUUCAAGGCAACCAUGCCUAGUGUGAGUACACCCUAACUCAGGAACACACUGCUGGGAUGUGGAGGUUAAAGAGUUUCUGCUGGAUUCACGGAGUAACUAUAGCAUCAAACCAAAGGAAGGGAUGUGAUUGUUUUAACACUGAUGUCUAGAGUGUGGAGUAUGAACAGGAAGGACUGUCUGAACCAUCUGGCUUUUGUAAUAAACGAAAGCUUGAUCAUGUUUGGAAUGCAGUGUAAGCUUUGCAAAUUUGCCCACAGUAUACUAGCAGAGAGGUCCUCUUGAAACAUUACAGGUUUCACCACUAUCAAGGGUGAUCCUGGAAGCAGCCUUGCUUGUUACUGACUGCAUCUGCACUUUCAAAACCGUAGGUGCCUUAAAAUCUCAUUUGAUAAGAGCACACAAACAGAGUGCUGCAGUUAAAGAGCACUUUAAUUUUUCAUACCUCAGAUAUCCUUGCUCAAAGAAAGGCAACAGCUCUCAAAGGGCUCCCUGUGUUUAUGAGGGAAAAGUCAGAAAACGUCCUGAAGACCUGCCUGGUUUUCUCCUCUGCUAUUGACGCUUGCUGGUUGGUGCGAGAUGCAUUCUGGGAUACCUGGCUGUCUCAAGUCCGCAGAAGUCACCUCUUGAUGCAUCCUCGAUAAAAGGGACGGAUCAAGAACACAUCCGGGUCAAACUUCAAGAGUUUUAAACCUAAACUCUAGUGUUGAUUCAUCAUUCUUACACAUCAGCUGAUUUGGUAUUUCAUCACUUAUAUAGAUCAGUUCUGGUGGCUGUUUGCUCUCUUCGUCGUCAUCAUCAUCAUCUUCAUCAAUCUUGAUGUGUUCCAGAAAAGGAUCUUCAAGUGAGUCCAGAAGCUUUAAUUGUGUCAGAAAGAGUCAUGAAAACUAAAACUAAAAUAUGGUUAUUAAUGAGUACCAGUAAUGGGCACAAUAUGCUUUUUUUAUUGAUGCAAAUUACCCUUAUCUGUAAAUGUGCACUUUAUAAUUAUACAGCACAAUUUUAUAAUUUUCCAGUAAAGUAAAAUAGCCUAAUUUGUGAACCUCACUUUGAAAGCCUCUGUCCUAAACAGUAACCUAAAAUCUCUCUGAGUACAUGUAAAUACUACGAUAAAUAUAAUACUAUUUUAUUAAUAAGUAUCAUUCUGUGUUCAGAUGUUUUCAGAGAUCAGAGCUGAGCGUCUGUCAGCGCAAUGAUUUAGAAAACAGGAGUGAAUUUGACUGAAACACAUGUAAGAGCUGAUGAUGUUUUAAUGUACAGAUGAGGCAGAAGCUUUCUGAAUCUCCAUGUUAAAAGAAUCUGAAUGGAUCCCGAUUCUGGUGUUCCAAUAAAUCAUCUGGGCCAUAUACCUCAAUGCAAUAGUGAUCCCAAAAAACUUUCCUGUCCAUUCUAAAGCCAUGGCAAAACAUACGGUGAAACUUUGGCCCACAUGCGCUCAUGCCAUGCUAUAUAUCAGGCCAGUGUGCCAACUAUCUGCCACAUUUGGCCCAAAUGUUUGAUUAGCAGGUUUAUAAAGCAUCCAGUUAUGAUUGGAAUUUACUGUAUAACGCGGAAUGUCACGGAAUUUGGAUGAAUAAAUCGAAAGAGGUGUAUUACGAUUAAUCAAACUGAAAUUGCACCAUGAGCUGGUUAUUAAUUAUGAUUAUUAAUCUUGAACUGGUUUCAGUUCUCCGCCUUGUAAACAAUGCCUAAAUAAUGUCUUUUGCUCAGGAAGUUCAUUUAGAGUCGGUGAUUUUGCUCAAGUAGGUUAUUUUAGUUUUCUGCCACCACAUUGCGGCCGCAACUCUUAUUUUGUUUUGACUCAGUGCCACCCACUUCUAAAACAAGAGGGAGAAAAAUCCCCUAGUCUAAACCAACUUCAACAGCGUCAGGUCAUAUUGUCAAACUUAAGUCUUUCUCUUUUUGUUUUUUGUUAAAACAUGUCUUGGAAAAUAUUCCUUUUGUAAACAAUGUCUCUUGUAAACUGAAUAUAUAAUCUCAGACUUUAAAAUGGAGUCAGCUGACACUUCUCUUCUCACUAUUUCAAUAAAAAGCCUGCAUAUAUUAUUACUUUUGGGUUGAUAUACCUGCAUAGACCUACUUAAAAUCUAGGUAUUUGCAUGAAGCAUAUUUAACAUAUUCUAUGCAACAAAAUAAAACACAUGCUACAGUCUGCAACAUUUGAUGUAGUGAAGGGAAACCACUUAAAGGGAUGGUUCACCCGAAAAUGAAAAUUAUCCCACGAACACAAUCGGAGAUAUACCUAAAAAUAUCCUGGCUUUCCAAAGAUUUAUAAUGAUAGUGAACAGAAGGGUGUGUUUUGAAGCCCCCCAAAAAUGCAUCCAUCCAUCAUAAAAAAUAAUCCAUACAGCUCCAGUGGGUUAAUAAAGGCCUUCUGAAAUGAAUCAAUGAGUUUUUGUAAGAAAAAUAUCCAUAUAUUUCUGAAAUGCUUACAAACGUCCAUAGAUCCUUUUAGAAAUGAAUAAUUAUGUUGGCGUAUGAUAUAUUAUAUAAGAUGAUCCUCUUAACAUUUUUCCAGAAAUGUUUAAAUGCUUAUUCCAAUAAAAGCCUUGUCAUGCAAUAGUAAUA